rnacentral:rRNA from 3 species
UGGGGCUGGAUCACCUCCUUU